rnacentral:rRNA from 1 species
CGCUGGCGGCAUGCCUUACACAUGCAAGUCGAACGGCAGCACGGGAGCAAUCCUGGUGGCGAGUGGCGAACGGGUGAGUAAUGUAUCGGAACGUACCUUUCAGUGGGGGAUAACGUGGCGAAAGUUACGCUAAUACCGCAUAUUCUGUGCGCAGGAAAGCAGGGGAUCGCAAGACCUUGCGCUGAUUGAGCGGCCGAUAUCAGAUUAGCUAGUUGGUGAGGUAAAGGCUCACCAAGGCGACGAUCUGUAGCGGGUCUGAGAGGAUGAUCCGCCACACUGGAACUGAGACACGGUCCAGACUCCUACGGGAGGCAGCAGUGGGGAAUUUUGGACAAUGGGGGCAACCCUGAUCCAGCCAUGCCGCGUGAGUGAAGAAGGCCUUCGGGUUGUAAAGCUCUUUCGGCCGGGAAGAAAUCGCAUGGGUUAAUACCCUGUGCGGAUGACGGUACCGGCAUAAGAAGCACCGGCUAACUACGUGCCAGCAGCCGCGGUAAUACGUAGGGUGCGAGCGUUAAUCGGAAUUACUGGGCGUAAGGCGUGCGCAGGCGGUUUUGUAAGACAGGCGUGAAAUCCCCGGGCUCAACCUGGGAACUGCGCUUGUGACUGCAAGGCUAGAGUAUGGCAGAGGGGGGUGGAAUUCCACGUGUAGCAGUGAAAUGCGUAGAGAUGUGGAGGAACACCAAUGGCGAAGGCAGCCCCCUGGGCCAAUACUGACGCUCAUGCACGAAAGCGUGGGUAGCAAACAGGAUUAGAUACCCUGGUAGUCCACCCCCUAAACGAUGUCAACUAGGUGUUGGGUGGGUAAAACCAUUUAGUACCGGAGCUAACGCGUGAAGUUGACCGCCUGGGGAGUACGGCCGCAAGGUUAAAACUCAAAGGAAUUGACGGGGACCCGCACAAGCGGUGGAUGAUGUGGAUUAAUUCGAUGCAACGCGAAAAACCUUACCUACCCUUGACAUGUCCAGGAGCCUGAAGAGAUUUGGGUGUGCCCGAAAGGGAACUGGAACACAGGUGCUGCAUGGCUGUCGUCAGCUCGUGUCGUGAGAUGUUGGGUUAAGUCCCGCAACGAGCGCAACCCUUGUCGUUAAUUGCCAUCAUUCAGUUGGGCACUUUAACGAGACUGCCGGUGACAAACCGGAGGAAGGUGGGGAUGACGUCAAGUCCUCAUGGCCCUUAUGGGUAGGGCUUCACACGUCAUACAAUGGUCGGUACAAAGGGUCGCCAACCCGCGAGGGGGAGCCAAUCCCAGAAAGCCGAUCGUAGUCCGGAUCGUAGGCUGCAACUCGCCUGCGUGAAGUCGGAAUCGCUAGUAAGUCGUGGAUCAGCAUGUCACGGUGAAUACGUUCCCGGGUCUUGUACACACCGCCCGUCACACCAUGGGAGCGGGUUCCGCCAGAAGUAGGUAGCCUAACCG